rnacentral:rRNA from 1 species
AUUGAACGCUGGCGGCAGGCCUAACACAUGCAAGUCGAACGAGUGGCGGACGGGUGAGUAAUGUCUGGGAAACUGCCUGAUGGAGGGGGAUAACUACUGGAAACGGUAGCUAAUACCGCAUACCAUCGGAGGUGCCCAGAUAGGAUUAGCUAGUAGGCGGGGAAAAGGCUCACCUAGGCGACGAUCCCUAGCUGGUCUGAGAGGAUGACCAGCCACACUGGAACUGAGCAACGGUCCAGACUCCUACGGGGUGAAGCGGUGGUGAAUAUUGCAAAAUGGGCGCAAGCCUAAUGCAGCCAUGCCGCGUGUAUACAGACGGCCUUCGGGUUGUAAAGUACUUUCAGCGAGGAGGCGUUACCCGCAGAAGAAGCACCGGCUAACUCCGUGCCAGCAGCCGCGGUAAUAC